rnacentral:lncRNA from 1 species
AGGUAAGAUGACUUGUAAAAGAGACAACUUUCUAUCCCUAGGAGGUAUCAGUGUUUAGUUGCUUGUGGCAGCAUGGAUUACAGUGGACCACAGUACACAGGAUGCUAGAGCUGAUGACCUAAUGGAUUUCAGUGGUGACAUGUGCCACUCCCUGGGUGGCCGCAUCUGCCCAACAGCACUUUUCCAUAUGUGGAGUUCCAGAUGUGGACAGUAUUCCCGGUACCAUAA